GAAGGUCCAUGGAACGUGAAAUGAAGAACAAGGAAUCCUUGUUCCUCAAGGAAGGACUAUGAAUACGGGUGUAUACACCCUAACUGCAAAUGAUGGAAUACCUAAUUUAUAUCAGGCGACAAUUGACGAUGUUCUGAUAAAUUGUAAGUUUUUAUUUCCGUGUGACUUGCAUACGGAAGAAGUCAUUGCAUACUGCCUACAUUACUACACAGUUAUGCGAAUGCGUCAAUUGACCAUAAUAUAAAGUUGUGAGAUGGUGAAGUGUAGUAAGCUAAAGAAGAAGCAGGCCUGUACUCUAUAUAAUGGGAAAUCAUCCACUCAGAUACGCUACCUGACGGAUCAAAUAUAAACUACUCUAUGCAGGUCAAGCUUAAACUGCUGAUACCAAAUAUAAUAUGUGAGAAAUGUAGUUUAAAAGUGUUAGACUUUUUUUUAAAUAUUAAGUAAUCAAUUAUUAUCUAUAAGCUUAGUUAUUACUUAAAAACAUCUUAAAUUUCAAUAUUUGAUCAAAAAAUUUAAUCAUGGAGUUUCCACCACGAGAAAAUAAAAAUAAAACUUUCUGCUGCGUGUAUGGGUGUAAUAGCAAGUCUAGUAAGAACAAUACAGUUCGAUUUUACACUUUACCUUCGGCAAAUUCUAGUUUUGUAGUAAUUAAAAAUAAAUUUGGUGAAGAUGAAGUGAUUGAUCGUCGAUUAGCUUGGAUAAAAGCAUUGAAAAUUGGGAAUGAGGUUACACAGUCAAAAAAAGUGUUCAUUACAUUUCACCAAAAAUGACUUCAUACCAACAUCCAGUGUUGCGAUAUUGCACCCACAAUUUCAUGCGGUGGAUCUUUUAAACGAGAAGUUUGGAGACAGAAUGCAAUUAUUUUAUACUCAUUAUCACAACUAGUAUCUGAUUGCUGUAGGCCACAUUUCAUUAGAUGUCCCGCAUCAAGUAUAUCUUCACCACCAAUAAAAUUUUUAUGACUAGGCUGAGUAUUUGCAAACUCACAAAUUUCUUGUAUUGAAAUUUUCAUAUUUUAUUGAAUUUUUUUUGAAAAUUCGAGUUUAAUAACUGUAAAUAAAUACACGCUUUCACAUAAGAACACGAAAGCUGAUUUAAAAAUGCGUUUUAGAAUAGUUACUGCUUCUGCCGCAAGGAGAAGCCACGCCCCCGGCAGAUUUCCCAAAAACAAAACGUAUCAGAAUUUUUAAAUAUAUUUCAAUGUAAUAAUAAUAAUAAUUUGCUUAUGCUGAGUAAUUACUGUAUAAGUAUCCCACGCAUUUAUUAUUAUGCAUCCUUUGGAUGGUUUAUCAGGAGUGAUUACCGUUCUUUAACGAGAAAGUUUACCAGUGAAAUUUUAGUUCAACCAUUCUAUAAAAGUGUUUUACCAUACUUGUGGUCAAUUUGAAGAGUUGCCGUAUUUUUCAAUAUAUCAUAAGUAAUGUCGUAGUAAUGUACUGCCGUGGUAAUCCUUACCACAAGAAAUAAGGGCAGCAUACAUGUUCGUCAAUAAUUUCACUGACACAAUUUUUCAUGAAGAUUUUAAGUACUAUCGAUUUUAAGGGGACCUUACGGUCUAGCGGGUGAGAAUUCGACUGCUUUUCAAAAGUUUUUUUUUUUUAAUGAAAGAAAUGAACAAUGUUAUUUAAAUUUUGUAGGUUUUAUUACUUAUAAAUUUUACAAAAUUGGAAAUUAAAAAAAAAAAAAUUUUUUUAUUAUUUUAAAAAUGUACGUACAUGUAGUCAAUCUACUGAUGUUAAAAUGAUCUUCAGAAGUACAAACAUAAACAAAACAUUUCACCACAAACCCGGUUAAUUUACAACUCAGGUGAAUCGCAUCUAGCUGCUUAAUCUAGAUUACAGUUAAAAUAUUAGCCACUCCAUUAAUUCAUAAGCCUAUUUAUAACAUACUUUGACACUGACACAUCUAUUCUAUGUAAAUACCACACCUAUUCACUCGAAAAUGAAUAAAUUGAUAACUGAUAUGAAAUCAAUACAAUCCCAUAGAAAUUAUUC